rnacentral:rRNA from 1 species
AGAGUUUGAUCCUGGCUCAGAACGAACGCUGGCGGCAGGCUUAACACAUGCAAGUCGAGCGCGUAGCAAUACGAGCGGCAGACGGGUGAGUAACGCGUGGGAAUCUACCCUUUUCUACGGAAUAACGCAGGGAAACUUGUGCUAAUACCGUAUGAGCCCUUCGGGGGAAAGAUUUAUCGGGAAAGGAUGAGCCCGCGUUGGAUUAGCUAGUUGGUGGGGUAAAGGCCUACCAAGGCGACGAUCCAUAGCUGGUCUGAGAGGAUGAUCAGCCACAUUGGGACUGAGACACGGCCCAAACUCCUACGGGAGGCAGCAGUGGGGAAUAUUGGACAAUGGGCGCAAGCCUGAUCCAGCCAUGCCGCGUGAGUGAUGAAGGCCCUAGGGUUGUAAAGCUCUUUCACCGGUGAAGAUAAUGACGGUAACCGGAGAAGAAGCCCCGGCUAACUUCGUGCCAGCAGCCGCGGUAAUACGAAGGGGGCUAGCGUUGUUCGGAAUUACUGGGCGUAAAGCGCACGUAGGCGGAUUGUUAAGUGAGGGGUGAAAUCCCAGGGCUCAACCCUGGAACUGCCUUUCAUACUGGCAAUCUAGAGUCCGGAAGAGGUGAGUGGAAUUCCGAGUGUAGAGGUGAAAUUCGUAGAUAUUCGGAGGAACACCAGUGGCGAAGGCGGCUCACUGUCCGGAACGA